rnacentral:rRNA from 1 species
GCGUACGGCCAUACUACCGGGAAUACACCUGAACCCGUUCGAUUUCAGAAGUUAAGCCUGGUCAGGCCCAGUUAGUACUGAGGUGGGCGACCACUUGGGAACACUGGGUGCUGUACGCU